rnacentral:tRNA from 1 species
UAAGGAUUUAAGUUAAAUUUAAACUAAUGACCUUCAAAGUCAUAAAUGGGAACUACACUUUCUAGCCCUU